GAUGAACGCUGGCGGCGUGCCUAAUACAUGCAAGUCGAGCGAACGGACGAGAAGCUUGCCUCUCUGAUGUUAGAGGCGGACGGGUGAGUAAAACGUGGAUAACAUACCUAUAAGACUGGGGUAAAUUCGGGAAAACGGAGCUAAUACCGGAUAAAAUUUCGAACCGCAUGGUCCAAAAGAGAAAGAAGGUCUUGCCGACACUUAUAGAUGGAUCCGCGCUGCAUUAGCUAGUUGGUAAGGUAACGGCUUACCAAGGGAACGAUGCAUAGCCGUCCUGAGAGGGUGACCGCCCACACGGGACCUGAGACACGGUCCGGACCCUUCGGGGGGGCACCGGUGGGGAACCUUCCGCAUUGGGCGAAGGCCUGACGGAGCACGGCCGCGUGAGUGAGGAAGGUCUUCGGAUGGUAAACUUCUUUUAUUAGGGAAGAAGGUAUGCGUACGUAUCUGUGCACAUCUUGACGGUACCUAAACAGAAAGCCACGGCUAACUACGUG
rnacentral:rRNA from 1 species